CACGUAGGGGGCGAGCGUUGUCCGGAUUUAUUGGGCGUAAAGAGCUCGUAGGCGGUUUCGUAAGUCGGAUGUGAAAACUCCAGGCUCAACUUGGGGACGCCAUUCGAUACUGCGAUGACUUGAGUCCGGUAGGGGAGUGUGGAAUUCCUGGUGUAGCGGUGAAAUGCGCAGAUAUCAGGAGGAACACCGGCGGCGAAGGCGGCACUCUGGGGCACCCUUGACGCUGAGGCGCGAAAGCUGGGGGAGCGAACGGG
rnacentral:rRNA from 1 species